GAGGGUGAUCGGCCACAUUGGAACUGAGACACGGUCCAAACUCCUACGGGAGGCAGCAGUGGGGAAUAUUGCACAAUGGGCGAAAGCCUGAUGCAGCAACGCCGCGUGAGUGAUGAAGGCCUUCGGGUCGUAAAACUCUGUCCUCAAGGAAGAUAAUGACGGUACUUGAGGAGGAAGCCCCGGCUAACUACGUGCCAGCAGCCGCGGUAAUACGUAGGGGGCUAGCGUUAUCCGGAUUUACUGGGCGUAAAGGGUGCGUAGGCGGUCUUUCAAGUCAGGAGUGAAAGGCUACGGCUCAACCGUAGUAAGCUCUUGAAACUGGGAGACUUGAGUGCAGGAGAGGAGAGUGGAAUUCCUAGUGUAGCGGUGAAAUGCGUAGAUAUUAGGAGGAACACCAGUUGCGAAGGCGGCUCUCUGGACUGUAACUGACGCUGAGGCACGAAAGCGUGGGGAGCAAACAGGAUUAGAUACCCUGGUAGUCCACGCUGUAAACGAUGAGUACUAGGUGUCGGGGGUUACCCCCUUCGGUGCCGCAGCUAACGCAUUAAGUACUCCGCCUGGGAAGUACGCUCGCAAGAGGGAAACUCAAAGGAAUUGACGGGGACCCGAACAAGUAGCGGAGCAUGUGGUUUAAUUCGAAGCAACGCGAAGAACCU
rnacentral:rRNA from 1 species